CAGCCAGACUGAAAUUGCUAAACUUGUGGCCUCUUACCUUGACACAUUUCCGAAAUCACUGCCAAGGGACAGCAAGCCGACUUCUCCGCGGCGCGACGCCUGCGAGGCCUAGAGAAGGCGCGUUGCUUUAAAUUACAACACCGAUUACUUCUUGAAGAUUUUGACUUGACGGUCAGUGAGGUUGAGCAUUCGAGACAACUGCAGGCGCUUCUCUUUGUUGAUGUACACACUGAAGAAGAACUCCCGCUCCAACUCCCGGAUCUGGUACUUGGUGUAGGGGCAACGCUUUUUUCUGGAGGCCCAGCAGCUGAAGGGAGCCCGCCCGGCUCAGGGGAAGACCUGACGGGUGCUAAGGCCACCCUGGAAAGCCACGUCCGAGUUGUAUUUCUUGAAGAGAUUGUGUGGGCAAGGCUAGGACAUUGGCCUUGGCGGCUGGUUGCCUGUGAACUGUCCUUUCUCAGGAGCUCCACGGUGCGGGGCCAUCUCCAGAAAACAGUCUCCAGCAUGUCUUUCCUUUUAUCCUCAACCCAGAACCCCACGGCAGCUAAUGCAAAAGGCCAAAAAUGUUCUGGAGGAAGAAAAACAAAGGCAGGAAGUGGCGGCGGCCUGACGGUGCGUGUGUGUCUGUGGAGAAGGGAGGGAGCCUUUUCAAUCUCUUCUUGUUGUUUUUCCAAACUUCAAGGUCUAGGCAGCCCUUGCAGGGCCAGGCCCUUUCACUCCCCAAGCAGUGUUUGGAGAUGGCCACCCGGAGAGAAGGAUGGCUCCCAAGCCCGCCCUGUCAAGCGGAAACGGCUAACGAGGCGAUUUGCUCAGCAAAGCAGACCAAGCCUUUGCAAGGCUCUGUUUGAUUUGGCCCUAAAUGGGGGAGGAGGGAGUUUGAGGGGUUCGGCAGUACCUCCUGGAUCCUCCUUGCUGGGGCUGAGUGGGCCCUGGUGGGGAUGAUUCCUGUGUGCUGCGCUCCACCCACCUUCCCGGGCAAGAUACUGGAAUAAAUUGCGUCCAGGUGCCU